rnacentral:rRNA from 2 species
UGCAGUCGAGCGGAUGACGGGAGCUUGCUCCUUGAUUCAGCGGCGGACGGGUGAGUAAUGCCUAGGAAUCUGCCUGGUAGUGGGGGACAACGUUUCGAAAGGAACGCUAAUACCGCAUACGUCCUACGGGAGAAAGCAGGGGACCUUCGGGCCUUGCGCUAUCAGAUGAGCCUAGGUCGGAUUAGCUAGUUGGUGGGGUAAUGGCUCACCAAGGCGACGAUCCGUAACUGGUCUGAGAGGAUGAUCAGUCACACUGGAACUGAGACACGGUCCAGACUCCUACGGGAGGCAGCAGUGGGGAAUAUUGGACAAUGGGCGAAAGCCUGAUCCAGCCAUGCCGCGUGUGUGAAGAAGGUCUUCGGAUUGUAAAGCACUUUAAGUUGGGAGGAAGGGCAGUAAGUUAAUACCUUGCUGUUUUGACGUUACCGACAGAAUAAGCACCGGCUAACUCUGUGCCAGCAGCCGCGGUAAUACAGAGGGUGCAAGCGUUAAUCGGAAUUACUGGGCGUAAAGCGCGCGUAGGUGGUUUGUUAAGUUGGAUGUGAAAGCCCCGGGCUCAACCUGGGAACUGCAUCCAAAACUGGCAAGCUAGAGUACGGUAGAGGGUGGUGGAAUUUCCUGUGUAGCGGUGAAAUGCGUAGAUAUAGGAAGGAACACCAGUGGCGAAGGCGACCACCUGGACUGAUACUGACACUGAGGUGCGAAAGCGUGGGGAGCAAACAGGAUUAGAUACCCUGGUAGUCCACGCCGUAAACGAUGUCAACUAGCCGUUGGAAUCCUUGAGAUUUUAGUGGCGCAGCUAACGCAUUAAGUUGACCGCCUGGGGAGUACGGCCGCAAGGUUAAAACUCAAAUGAAUUGACGGGGGCCCGCACAAGCGGUGGAGCAUGUGGUUUA